GGGAGAGCUAGGCUGGCGCGCUAGUCCUGCGUUGUUACCGUGAACGGACUUCACACGGAGCCGAAGCCCAAAGAAGGGUCAGAGUUGUUUUACAGACCCCUAUCCACUUCGACGACGGUUUGUCCAAAGGGAUGAACUUGUUGGGAAUCAGGUCAGGUCCGGAAGGAAGCAGCCUUAACCAGUAAUCUUCAUGUUCUUUGGGUUGCAAGCCCGAGAGGUCUUAGGGAACAAGUUUGUGAAGCUUCUUUGCUUCGACCGAGGGUAUGCCCC
rnacentral:SRP_RNA from 1 species